UGACCAUUCCAUUUACGUGGAAUCAAGGCCAUACGGACAGCCGGGUCAAAUGCCGA
rnacentral:sRNA from 1 species